UUGCUACCUGAUUCAGCGGCGGACGGGUGAGUAAUGCCUAGGAAUCUGCCCGAUAGUGGGGGACAACGUUUCGAAAGGAACGCUAAUACCGCAUAUGUCCUACGGGAGAAAGUGGGGGAUCUUCGGACCUCACGCUAUCGGAUGAGCCUAGGUCGGAUUAGCUAGUUGGUGAGGUAAUGGCUCACCAAGGCGACGAUCCGUAACUGGUCUGAGAGGAUGAUCAGUCACACUGGAACUGAGACACGGUCCAGACUCCUACGGGAGGCAGCAGUGGGGAAUAUUGGACAAUGGGCGAAAGCCUGAUCCAGCCAUGCCGCGUGUGUGAAGAAGGUCUUCGGAUUGUAAAGCACUUUAAGUUGGGAGGAAGGGCAGUAAGCUAAUACCUUGCUGUUUUGACGUUACCAACAGAAUAAGCACCGGCUAACUCUGUGCCAGCAGCCGCGGUAAUACAGAGGGUGCAAGCGUUAAUCGGAAUUACUGGGCGUAAAGCGCGCGUAGGUGGUUCAGCAAGUUGGAUGUGAAAUCCCCGGGCUCAACCUGGGAACUGCAUCCAAAACUACUGAGCUAGAGUACGGUAGAGGGUGGUGGAAUUUCCUGUGU
rnacentral:rRNA from 1 species